ACAGCAGCCGCCACGGGAAUACGGAGGGUGCAAGCGUUAAUCGGAAUUACUGGGCGUAAAGCGUGCGUAGGCGGUUCGUUAAGUCUGUCGUGAAAUCCCCGGGCUCGACCUGGGAAUGGCGAUGGAGACUGCAAGGCUAGAAUCUGGCAGAGGGGGGUAGAAUUCCACGUGUAGCAGUGAAAUGCGUAGAUAUGUGGAGGAACACCGAUGGCGAAGGCAGCCCCCUGGGCUAAGAUUGACGCUCAUGCACGAAAGCGUGGGGAGCAAACAGGAUUAGAUACCCCGGUAGUCCCUGUCUCUUAUCC
rnacentral:rRNA from 1 species